rnacentral:rRNA from 1 species
ACGAACGCUGGCGGCGUGCUUAACACAUGCAAGUCGAACGGAAAGGCCCUGCUUUUGUGGGGUGCUCUAGUGGCGAACGGGUGAGUAACACGUGAGUAACCUGCCCUUGACUUUGGGAUAACUUCAGGAAACUGGGGCUAAUACCGGAUAGGAGCUCCUGCUGCAUGGUGGGGGUUGGAAAGUUUCGGCGGUUGGGGAUGGACUCGCGGCUUAUCAGCUUGUUGGUGGGGUAGUGGCUUACCAAGGCUUUGACGGGUAGCCGGCCUGAGAGGGUGACCGGCCACAUUGGGACUGAGAUACGGCCCAGACUCCUACGGGAGGCAGCAGUGGGGAAUAUUGCACAAUGGGCGGAAGCCUGAUGCAGCAACGCCGCGUGCGGGAUGACGGCCUUCGGGUUGUAAACCGCUUUCGCCUGUGACGAAGCGUGAGUGACGGUAAUGGGUAAAGAAGCACCGGCUAACUACGUG